rnacentral:rRNA from 1 species
CCUACGGGAGACAGCAGUAGGGAAUCUUUCACAAUGGGCGAAAGCCUGAUGGAGCAACGCCGCGUGCAGGAUGAAGGCCUUCGGGUUGUAAACUGCUUUUAUAAGCGAGAAAUAUGAUGGUAACUUAUGAAUAAGGAUCGGCUAACUACGUGCCAGCAGCCGCGGUCAUACGUAGGAUCCGAGCAUUAUCCGGAGUGACUGGGUGUAAAGAGUUGCGUAGGUGGAAUAAUAAGUAGCUAGUGAAAUCUGGUGGCUCAACCAUUCAGACUAUUAGCUAAACUGUUAAGCUCGAGACCGUUAGAGGUAACUGGAAUGUGUAGUGUAGGAGUGAAAUCCGUAGAUAUUAGAAGGAACACCGAUAGCGUAGGCAGGUUGCUGGGACGGUUCUGACACUAAGGCACGAAAGCGUAGGGAGCAAACGGGAUUAGAUACCCCAGUAGUC